rnacentral:rRNA from 1 species
CUCAGGAUGAACGCUAGCUACAGGCUUAACACAUGCAAGUCGAGGGGCAGCAUGGUCUUAGCUUGCUAAGGCCGAUGGCGACCGGCGCACGGGUGAGUAACACGUAUCCAACCUGCCGUCUACUCUUGGACAGCCUUCUGAAAGGAAGAUUAAUACAAGAUGGCAUCAUGAGUCCGCAUGUUCACAUGAUUAAAGGUAUUCCGGUAGACGAUGGGGAUGCGUUCCAUUAGAUAGUAGGCGGGGUAACGGCCCACCUAGUCUUCGAUGGAUAGGGGUUCUGAGAGGAAGGUCCCCCACAUUGGAACUGACACACGGUCCAAACUCCUACGGGAGGCAGCAGUGAGGAAUAUUGGUCAAUGGGCGAGAGCCUGAACCAGCCAAGUAGCGUGAAGGAUGACUGCCCUAUGGGUUGUAAACUUCUUUUAUAAAGGAAUAAAGUCGGGUAUGCAUACCCGUUUGCAUGUACUUUAUGAAUAAGGAUCGGCUAACUCCGUGCCAGCAGCCGCGGUAAUACGGAGGAUCCGAGCGUUAUCCGGAUUUAUUGUGUUUAAAGGGAGCGUAGAUGGAUGUUUAAGUCAGUUGUGAAAGUUUGCGGCUCAACCGUAAAAUUGCAGUUGAUACUGGAUAUCUUGAGUGCAGUUGAGGCAGGCGGAAUUCGUGGUGUAGCGGUGAAAUGCUUAGAUAUCACGAAGAACUCCGAUUGCGAAGGCAGCCUGCUAAGCUGCAACUGACAUUGAGGCUCGAAAGUGUGGGUAUCAAACAGGAUUAGAUACCCUGGUAGUCCACACGGUAAACGAUGAAUACUCGCUGUUUGCGAUAUACAGCAAGCGGCCAAGCGAAAGCGUUAAGUAUUCCACCUGGGGAGUACGCCGGCAACGGUGAAACUCAAAGGAAUUGACGGGGGCCCGCACAAGCGGAGGAACAUGUGGUUUAAUUCGAUGAUACGCGAGGAACCUUACCCGGGCUUAAAUUGCAGAUGAAUUACGGUGAAAGCCGUAAGCCGCAAGGCAUCUGUGAAGGUGCUGCAUGGUUGUCGUCAGCUCGUGCCGUGAGGUGUCGGCUUAAGUGCCAUAACGAGCGCAACCCUUGUUGUCAGUUACUAACAGGUUCCGCUGAGGACUCUGACAAGACUGCCAUCGUAAGAUGUGAGGAAGGUGGGGAUGACGUCAAAUCAGCACGGCCCUUACGUCCGGGGCUACACACGUGUUACAAUGGGGGGUACAGAGGGCCGCUACCACGCGAGUGGAUGCCAAUCCCAAAAACCUCUCUCAGUUCGGACUGGAGUCUGCAACCCGACUCCACGAAGCUGGAUUCGCUAGUAAUCGCGCAUCAGCCACGGCGCGGUGAAUACGUUCCCGGGCCUUGUACACACCGCCCGUCAAGCCAUGGGAGCCGGGGGUACCUGAAGUGCGUAACCGCGAGGAGCGCCCUAGGGUAAAACUGGUGA